rnacentral:rRNA from 1 species
UACGUAGGGGGCAAGCGUUGUCCGGAUUUAUUGGGCGUAAAGAGCGUGUAGGCGGCCAUACAGGUCAGCUGUGAAAACUCGAGGCUCAACCUCGAGACGUCGGUUGAAACCGUAUGGCUAGAGUCCGGAAGAGGAGAGUGGAAUUCCCGGUGUAGCGGUGAAAUGCGCAGAUAUCGGGAAGAACACCCGUGGCGAAGGCGGCUCUCUGGGACGGUACUGACGCUGAGACGCGAAAGCGUGGGGGAGCGAACAGGA